GCCUGGUCUGAAUGCAGUGGCAUUUACAACUAAUUGAUCAUAACUAGUUACAGAUUCCUUUUUCUCUUCUCCACUCCCAUUGCUUCUCUAGAUUAGCCUUUA
ensembl:misc_RNA Y_RNA Y RNA